rnacentral:sRNA from 1 species
UCAGAGAAUGCAGUGCACACAUCUGGU